CGCCGCCAUGCUGAGCUGAAGGAGGGCUGCAAACCAAACUCUGAUCUCCGCACACACCGUGGAACAAAGAGGAAACCAUCACAUUAACCUCCCACAACUGCAGCUAUAACAUUAACCCCAGGCUUGUCCUUCAACGAUUUCCAACUGUGUGAGGAAAAGUGAAAAGAAGUUUUAAUGCAUCAGUACUCGCUAGCCGACGCCAUGACGGACAACUUGAGGAUUUUAUAAUUCUCUCCGGAGGAAGAGCGUCGCGUCUUGUAAGGAGCCACAGAGGAAACUUCACCGUUC
rnacentral:lncRNA from 1 species